rnacentral:rRNA from 1 species
AGUGAACGCUGGCGGUAGGCCUAACACAUGCAAGUCGAACGGCAGCACAGUAAGAGCUUGCUCUUACGGGUGGCGAGUGGCGGACGGGUGAGGAAUACAUCGGAAUCUACUUUUUCGUGGGGGAUAACGUAGGGAAACUUACGCUAAUACCGCAUACGACCUACGGGUGAAAGCAGGGGAUCUUCGGACCUUGCGCGAUUGAAUGAGCCGAUGUCGGAUUAGCUAGUUGGCGGGGUAAAGGCCCACCAAGGCGACGAUCCGUAGCUGGUCUGAGAGGAUGAUCAGCCAAACUGGAACUGGGACACGGUCCAGACUCCUACGGGAGGCAGCGGUGGGGAAUAUUGGACAAUGGGCGCAAGCCUGAUCCAGCCAUACCGCGUGGGUGAAGAAGGCCUUCGGGUUGUAAAGCCCUUUUGUUGGGAAAGAAAAGCAGCAGGUUAAUACCCCGCUGUUCUGACGGUACCCAAAGAAUAAGCACCGGCUAACUUCGU